AUGGAAUUUCAGUCAAUAAAUUGUUCUUGUUUUGAGCAAAUUAGCACUUCCAAAUAAGAAACAAUAACACAAAAGAAAACAAAAAGUACUCUCUUUUUUUCUUUUCUCUUGAUAACGUAAGUAUUUGCAGCAACGUACGCGCAACUCGACUAAUAUUAAAGAACCAAUUCAUUAUCCACUAAAAAAAGUAUUUUAUUCCUUUUGUGAUGCCGCAUUGCUUAGGUCAUGACCAGCUACAAUAUUAUAAGUUUCUUCCUCCCAUAGCAAUUUCUCCAAAUUUGGGUUGACUUUUUCUUUGAAAUUUUCAGCAAGUCAUAAAAAAAAGGAAAAAAUAAAAUCUGCAGUGGAAAAGAAGAGAGAAGUAUGUAGGAUAUACAAAAGUAUUUCUGGUUAUACGCAAUAUAUUUCAAUUGAUUGUGACUCCCUUUAAUUAUGAAGAUAAAUUGAUAAUAAAGUCAUAAUCAAAUGGAGGGAAAAAAAUAUAUGGGGAAAAACUGAACUCUAAAACUAUCUGUGAUCCUUCAACUUCCAUUCUCCUUUGUCCAUUAGCCUUGUACGGAGUAUAUAUUUCCUAGUUGUUUUUGGAUGUGCAGGGAGAUUUUAGAAAAAAAUAUUUAAAUAAGAUAACUAAAAAGAGCAAAUGAGUGUUAAAUUUUGAAAAAAAUAAAUCGGCAUCCUAUUUAGAGGAAUUAUUUAGGGGUCAGUGAGGGUGUUAGAGUUUGCACAGAGGGAUCCAGAAGUUAUCCAUAGCCUUAGCACCCAAAGCCCGCCCCAAAUCGAAACUUCUUGAGAGGGGAAAGUGAAGUAACACUGUGUGACCAGAUAAAAAAAAAAAAGAAGUGACACUGUGAGACCCUUUAUUCCAUUCAUUUUCAUCUUUCGUCACUACAUUUCUAUUCAAGAUCUUCGUAGGUCAUUUGUGUCCAUUCACAAUAACUUUUCACAACUCAUUAUCAGAUGCUUGAACGAAAAUACGCAUUCUACUUUUCCAAUUAUUAUAGUUAGACCCGCUAAACAAAGGUCUAUUGCUCAAUUGGCCUUCGGAUAAGAGGUUAUUGCAAUAAGUACAAGUAUUUUUUUUUUUUUUGGAAAAAUUGGGUUCAACCUACGAAAUCCAGUGCGGGCACAUUGGAUGAAAACAGAAGAGAAGUCGAAAUCUCACAUGCCUGCCUGUGGAGCAGAAGAGUGAAUAUUUUGUUCCUAGUAAAUUGACACCACUUGACACCAGGUGUCGUUGCCUUUGUGAAUCUCAUCAGCCUCGUAAAUCAGAUCAAUCGCCCACUUCUUUACAUACGUGUUAGGAUGAGUUACAUCUAUUGGGAUCUCCACUUCAUCACCGUCUUCUAAUUGCAAUCCUCGGUAACCCUGUGGUAUAUAAGAAAGCCACACAUGAUCCACAUCGGUGGGAUUGACAGAAAACUGGAAUGCUCCAUCGAACCAUCGGAUUUUAUUGCAGAUCACAGUUCGAAUCAAUACGUAAGAUGUUUCUCGGGGAGCCCAGACUACAAAGCGUAGUAUCCAACCCAACAUUUUCUGGUUCACAGAAGGAGAAGGUGGCACCACAAAAGAUACAUUUGGCCCUCUACCAUCAUGGUACGGGAACCAAAUACGAAGCUCCUCCUCCCCUGCUGGAACAAUAAUACGAACAACAUCCUCAAGUUCAGAGAGCCCCUGUUCCAAUAGAUCAUGAACUUAGUCAGAGUACAAACAUCUUUUUCUCAAGAUUUGACCUAAAAAUAUUCAGACAUACGAAAGGAUUUGGCCUUGCUAAUCUAAACGAAGUAGAAAGUGAACUCAAUGAAAAAAUAGGAUUCAUGUAGCCGACUCAAUUGAUUGGGAAACAAGACUCGGUUUGGUUUGGUUACCCCUAAGGGAUUUUUGGACCUUUUUUGUUUUGUCCUUAUUCAUUUUUUUUCACGUUUGUUCGUUUUGCGACAAAAUUUUAUGAAUUAUUGAUUCGUCUU